rnacentral:rRNA from 1 species
ACGAACUCAAGGGAGAAUCAAACAAUGAAGGGAGUGAUUUGGACAACGAAUCCCCCUAGGGUUGUCAUUAGGUCCUGAAUUUAGGAUGAAAUGCGAGAUGGUAGUUGGGCCAAGAGAAUCCUAUAUUAGCUCAACUCGAUGUUCACGGCAAUUGAACCCUAAUCCCAUACAAGUAUUGGGUGAGAACCGCUUCCACCCAAAUCCUUGUAUGAUUGCAUUACACUCAGGGAAAUCUCUAAUCAGGGUCGAUACUCAAACUAGGUCCAACCCUAAUGGCUGGAGGGGUACAAAAUACCCGAUGGUCACGGUGUAUUUGUACAUGGAUCCCUUCCAAGCCAAGUGUGUCUAGUACAACGGUGAUGGUCACGCAACCAAGUACAACCUAGAAGUUGAAAUACAGAGUUCUCAUGCAAAUCAACACAUCAAAGUACACAAGGCUUGAACCACAAACUACAAGAUUCCAUAAAAGAAAUACAACAUCCAACAAUACAUCAAUAAAGAUGAUUAUCCAAAUUACAAACAAUCAACCCUAGAGUUCAUCAUAUCUAAAUCACAAAUAAGUUAGUGCCUCAUGAAAGAGGACCACUCAUACAAAUCCAAGGAACAAAUAAACAAGAAAAGAAGUAAGAACUACUCCCUCUAGCUUUAGAUCCCCUUGGAUGGUGAAGAUCUUGAAGAUUUGAAGAGAUCUCCCCUUAAAUGAUGCCUUCAAUGCCUAGGAUCUUUUCCCAAUCUUCUCCUCCAAAGCUUGCCUCCCUCUUGGUGAAGUCUUGUAUAGUAGAUCGCCGGCGGGAAGAGAGGGCCGUGGCCUAAGAGGCCCAAGAGAAAAAACUGCCCCUCAAAAAGCUCUCCAUGCACUAGAAAAUCAACCUCCUUUUAUAUUCCAUCAGGUCCAUAUGGGCUCCAUGCGGGCGCAUGGAGCCCGUGAAGCUCACUGGCAUUUUGCUAAGAAAAUGCGUCGGUGCUACAGUACUCAGCUACAGUGAUUUUACUACAAUACUGAGACUUGUGAAAUUCCAGCAAACCUCACGGGCACCCAUGUGAGCGCAUGGAGCCCGUGAAGCUCAAAGUCGAAUGCCCGCAGCAUGAAUAGUAACCCACUACAGUGCCUGCUACAGUGCUGGAACCCCAAAAAUGCCGUUUUUGGUGUCGAAUUCAUCCAAUUUGCAUUUUUGAGCUUCGUUCGACUCUGUUAAGAACUGCAACACCAAAAUAACCAAUUUAUACUUAAACGGGCAUCAAUUCAUUAAGAUAUACACAAAUAAUACAAGAUCAAUACGUAUAAAAUACAUACAUUUAGUUGUUUAUCAGUGACGCACAUGAAUGGAUUAACNUACGUAUAAAAUACAUACAUUUAGUUGUUUAUCAGUGACGCACAUGAAUGGAUUAACRAGAUUCCCACUAUCCCURUCUACUAUCCAGCGAAACCACAGMUAAGGGAAUGGGUUUGGCGGAAUCAGCRGGGAAAGAAGACCCUGUUGAGCUUGACUCUAGUCCGACUUUGUGAAAUGACUUGAGAGGUGUAGGAUAAGUGGGAGCCCUCGRGCGGAAGUGAAAUACCACUACUUUUAAUGUUAUUUUACUUAUUCCGUGGACCGGAGGUUGGGCUCUGCCCCUMCUUUUGGAUCCAAGGACGCGCCCCGCGUGCGGCCGAUCCRGGCUAAAGAUAUUGUCAGGUGGGGAGUUUGGCUGGGGCGGCACAUCUGUUAAAAGAUAACGUAGGUGUCCUAAGAUGAGUUCAACUAGAACAKAAAUCUCGUGAGUAACAAAAGGGUAAAAGCUCRUUUGAUUCUKAUUUCCAGUACGAAUACGAACCRUGAAAGCGUGGCCUAUCGAUCCUUUAGCCCUUCGGGAUUUGAAGCUAGAGGUGUCAAAAAAGUUACCACAKGGAUAACUGGCAUGUGGCAGCCAAGCGUUCAUAGCGACGUUGCUUUUUGAUCAUUCGAUGUCAGCUCUUCCUAUCAUUGUGAAGCAGAAUUCACCAAGUGUUGGAUUCUUCACCCACCAAUAGGGAACGUGAGCUGGGUUUAGACCGUUGUGAGACAAGUUAGAUUUACCCUACUGAUGACCRCACCGCUAUAGUAAUUCAACCUAGUACGAGAGGAACUGUGUGCCAGUGGUUGAAAAGCCAGUGGCGCGAAGCUAUCGUGUGCCGGAUUAUGGCUGAACGCCUCUAAGCCAGAAUCCAAGCUAGUGUGCGGCGCCACGCACCGYCUCCCAGAACCCCGACCCAUAGUAGGGGACCACGCRUCCCCUACGGGCCCGUGUCACAGGCAGCGGCCCCCGCGGCGGACCUGCCGUGGGCGGUGGCCUCGAAGCGGGAUUCCGAGCGGGCGGCGGGCUGAAUCCUUUGCAGACGACUUAAAUACGCGAUAGGGCAUUGUAAGUGGCAGAGUGGCCUCGCUGCCAUGAUCCACUGAGAUCCAGCCCCUCGUCACAUGGAUUCAUCCCUUUCCCUCCGA